rnacentral:rRNA from 1 species
UGUUCGAUUCCGGAGAGGGAGCCUGAGAAACGGCUACCACAUCCAAGGAAGGCAGCAGGCACGCAAAUUACCCACUCCCGGCACGGGGAGGUAGUGACAAAAAAUAACGAUACGGGGACUCAUAUGGAGGCCCCGUAAUCGGAAUGAGUACACUUUAAAUCCUUUAACAAGGAUCCAUUGGAGGGCAAGUCUGGUGCCAGCAGCCGCGGUAAUUCCAGCUCCAAUAGCGUAUAUUAAAGUUGUUGCGGUUAAAAAGCUCGUAGUUGGUUCUGCGUGCUACGCUGUCGGUUCGCCGCCUGCCGGUGUAACUGGCAUGCCGUGGUAUGUCCUGUCGGUGGCGUUCGGGAGCCUUGUCUAGGAGGUGCCCUCGUAUCGAAAGGUGCGGGGUGUUCACAGGCCGGAGGCCUCCCCGUUCGCCUACUCUAUCCUACCUAGGUGCUCUUCACCGAGUGUCGAGGUAGGCCGACACGUUUACUUUGAACAAAUUAGAGUGCUCAAAGCAGGCUGAAAUUUCUGCCUGAAUAGUGGUGCAUGGAAUAAUAAAACAGGACCUCGGUUCUAUUUUGUUGGUUCUUAGGAACACGAGGUAAUGAUCAAUACGGACAGGCGGGGGCAUUCGUAUUGCGACGUUAGAGGUGAAAUUCUUGGAUCGUCGCAAGACGCACAAGAGCGAAAGCAUUGCCAAGAA